UGACAAGAAUAUUGGGAGCAGGAAAAUAUAAGAGAAGAGAUGCCAGCCUGCUAGCAGUUAUUCAAUAUUUUUCACCCCUAUGAUCCAGUAGCAUACAGGAAUUUGAGCAUGCAAAAGCAAGUGCUGUUGGUCUGGUGGUACACUUUUUCUAUUUGAUAGAAAGGCUUUGAGGUACUUUAGAAAAUAUGGAUAUAAUUGGAGAAAGAAAAAGGAUGGAAAGACUGUGAAAGAAGCUCAUGAAAAGUUGAAGGUAAUAAUUUGGUUAGUUUUUGUGUUUAUAGUUUAAUCAAAUUUGUAUAAGAUUAGCUUAUGCAUAAGAAUAGUUAAUUUUUGUGUUUAUAGUUAAUUUCUCUCAAGCCAUAGUGGUGUCUAGUGCAAAGUGGCCCCUGCCCACUAUGUGAGUUGUUGUAGCAGGAUGAUUUGGUACAAUGGCAGUUGCAGACCUAAUAGCAGGCUGAAAGGUGGCCUUAUCAGGCGUUAUAAUGUCACUAUUGAUUCCGUAAUCCAUCUGAACAGGGAAAUUAAGGCUAUUUGUGUUAUUUAAUUUCUGUGGUGGGAGGGGAUGCUAUUCCCCAAGGGUCAUGAGGUGUAUGAAUAUAUGUUGGGUUUAUGGGUUGGAUUCGAGCUAGUGGCCAAUUGCUUGAAUGGGAAAGUGCUUGUGUUUGACCUAGUAUUACGAGUCAGAAGUUGCAUCUUAUGUUGAUAUAAACACUCUUGGUUAUAUCAUACCUACCUUUUUUAAAUGAUCUCAAUCUAUUUUCUUCAUAUUUUUCUUGAAUUCAAGCAAGAAAGCUCUUCAAUAUAGAAGAAUAGGUGUUUUGUACUCCAGAUCUUUGCCUUGAGUGCAUGAGUAACUUUUUCAUAGAUCUAUUCUGGUUUAUUUUUCCGGGUAACAAAAAUAUUGUAGUAAAUAUUCUGUUUCAGAUUUGAUUAUCAAAUUCUUAGUUAUAUGUUGUUGUUAGAUAGUGAGAGUUUCUAUCCACUUUUCUUAACUUUCUUUUAUAGUUUCAAACUUUUAGGUCGAUACAUUGAUGUUCUUAGUUGAGUUUUACAGGUUUUGCAUGAUUACUUGUCUACUACUUUAGUUCUUCAUUGUGAUUGAUUUUUUGAGUUUCUAAUUUGAGUUGAUAGUUUCUAGCUAGAUUUUACAAUUUCUUUCAAUAGAGUUGAAUAGUUUUUACAUGAAAUGUGAGUUUUGAACAAGUUUUUACAAGAUUUUACAAUUUCUUUCAUUGUGUUAGGAAGUUACAUGUGUAUGAAAGGAUGAAGAGAGUUAGUUAGCCUAAGCAGCUAGGAGGAGCGGGUAAGGAUAGUAUAAAUAAGUUGGAUAUUCCAUUUAGAAGGGACUUUUGGUGAAUUGAAGUUUGUACAAGUCAUUCCUAUAAGGGGGGAGAUUAGGCUCUCUUGUUAUCCACAUAUACUGUAUUCUUUGCUGUGAAUAAUAAUACGAGAGGUUAUUCAGAAGGUUCUGGUGUGUUUGUGUGUGCUAGCGUGAGUGGGUUUAGGUUUCUUGAAUUGGAAUCUAACAUUUGGUCCGACCUGCCGGAUCGAAAGGGAGGUUCUGACGGAAGCAGUAGUUCAAUGAACGAUAAUGAGGAGAAACGUAAUCAAGGGGGCAUUCAGCAGAAUUGGCGGAAACGGGUAGACUUACCGCCGUUUGAGGGAAUGGAACCGCACAGUUGGAUUAAUCGGGCAAAACACUUCUUCGACAUCCAGAAGGUAGUGGAGGAGGACAAGGUGGAGCUCGCCUAUAUCAACAUGGAAGGUAGUGCGAGUUACUGGUUUAAAGUUUGGAAAGAUAAAGCGAGGGACCGCUCAUGGUCAGGUUUGAAAUUGGCGUGGGGGAGAAGUAAUACAACAGGUUCUGAUCCAGUGGCAAGAAGGUGGCAGAGAUGGCGCAACAUGGGAAGAUGUGGCAACUAUUCAGGAUCAAUAUCCUGAAUUCAACCUUGGGGACAAGGUUGUUGAGGAGGAGGGGGGUAAUGUUAGGAAGUUACAUGUGUAUGAAAGGAGGAAGAGAGUUAGUUAGCCUAACUAUCUGAGCAGUUAGGAGGAGCGGGUAAGGAUAGUAUAAAUAAGUUGGGUAUUCCAUUUAGAAGUGACUUUUGGUGAAUUGAAGUUUGUACAGGUCAUUCCUGUAAGGGAGGAGAUUAGGCUCUCUUGUCAUCCACAUAUACUGUAUUCUUUGUUGUGAAUAAUAAUAUGAGAGGUUAUUCAGAAGGUUCUGGUGUGUUUUGUGUGUGCUAACGUGAGUGGGUUUAGGUUUCUUGAAUUGGAAUCUAACACAUUGUGUGAUGCAUUCCUGUUUAUUUACAUUUCAGAACUUGUGUUGUUUAUUUUAUGCAUUUGUGAAUGAUUUAUGCAUUCGUUUUUCAUAACAUCUCUCUUUGAUUUUAGCCUUGAUUUUUCUCUCUUUUUACCUCACUUAUACACAGGCUACAUUACAAGCCUUAAUUGAAGUCCUAUUGAUCUUGAGUGUAUUUUCUAAUUGGAUUGGUGUGAUUAGAAGUUUUUCAAGUUUAUGAUAAUGUAAAUUUGCGUAUUGUGUUGAGAGUUAAACACCUAGAUGUUGAAGUCUGACGUUUAUCUUAUAUUGACAUUAUAUAUAGAGAGAGAGAGUGAAACACCUCAUAUCCUGGGACAUGUGGGUUAUGGAAUUUUCCACCUUCAUGUUAGGGCCAUUCAGGAUUUGUAUGAUGUAUGCAAUUUGAUGUCCUCUCUAUGAAUGAGAUAUGUCACAAUUAUUGUUGUUUGCAUACUUUGAUUUUUAAAUACUGUCUUCUUGCUUGCAUGCAUUAGGGAUAAUUAAUGUUGAAUUUUCUUUUCCUGUCUUUUUAUCUAUGGGGAAAAUUAUGAGACUUGUAGUUUACUGGCAAAGGCUAUGGAUGAAGGACAAUUUGAUGAGAAGCUGAAAGGCCCCAAAAAAUACAAAUUGAGUUUGCUCCAAUCAUAUUUUUCUAUUUUAUUCUGCAAAUAACUUGCCUUUGAAUAUUUUAACCUUUGAUUUCAUGCAGAAAAUUGAAGUAAAAAGAUUAUAUCCUCCGUUAACUAUCAAAGAAUUUGCAUCAGACAUUCCUAAAGAUGCCUAGUGCAAAGUCAGUUUGGGAGUUGUUUUUUUUUAGUGUUUUCACUCCUUAAUAUCCUAGAUCGUGUUUUAUAGCAUGUGUGAAAUCCUCAUGAAAAAUGAAGAUGGAAUUUAUCCAGGUGCAGUAGCUGCUUCCUUGACACCUGUUGAAAAUGGCACUUCUCACAAGCAGGUGAAUGCUGAAUUAUUGUCUGUUAAGUCCCCAAAGGAGUCUCUAGUUGAAGACGGUUUUGAAAAGGAUGAAAAUGAGUCCACUUUUAGUAUUACUGUUGUUGGAGCCUCUGGUUGCUAAGAAGAUAUUUCCAACUCUCUUUGCACUUUACUUUGAGGAUUGUCUCCCUAAGCACUUCACCAUCUAUGGUUACGCACGGAGUAAGAUGACUGAUUCAGAAUAGCUGGACCCUCACUUGUAGAAUUGAUAAGAGUUGAUUAUCACAUCUUAAUGUUUAUCAUGGUUAUGGUUAGGCUACAUAUUUUAUGUUUGGAAAUUCGCGUUGUGAAAUUUCAUGGAGAACUGCAAUGAGAAGAUGGAGCAAUUCCUAAAAAGAUGUUUCUAUCAUUCUGAUCAAUAUGAUUCUCAGGAAAACUUUGCAGUGCUAGACAAGAAACUGAAGGAACAAGAGAUGCUGUAAAAUGUGCAAGCUUGUCGGUUUCUUCUGGUAAUGGUUGGACCAGGGUCAUUGUUGAAAAGCCUUUCUACAGCUGCAUUAACAGAACCACUCAAGCAGUACCUGACUGAGGAUCAAAUUUUCAGAAAAUUGAAGUAAAAAGAUUAUAUUCUCUGUUGACGACCAAAGAAUGUGUGUCAGACAUUCCUAAAGAUACCUAGUGUAAAGUCACUUUGGGAGUUGGUUUCUUUUAGGUAAAUGACAAGAAUAUUGGGAGCAGGAAAAUAUAAGAGAAGAGAUGCCAGCUGUCGGGAGUUAUUCAACAUUUUUCACCCCUACGAUNCAGUAGCAUACAGGUUUGAUAAGAUUUCAGUCCCAAUGAAGUAUCCAUAAUAUAGUGAUUAAAUGAGUUCCUUAGUCACUAGUGAACCUUGUAAUUUAAUUUUUUACCAUCAUUUUAUUUGUACAAUAUUCCUUUGAUUGUUUCGGUGCCCAGAUUCUUUUUGUUUAAUAAAUUCAUACGGUGUAUGGAGCAAGCAUUCUAAUGUGUGGAUUAUGAUAAA